UGAGGAAUCUUGCGCAAUGGGGGAAACCCUGACGCAGCAACGCCGCGUGAGUGAGGAAGGCCUUCGGGUCGUAAAGCUCUGUCAGAUGGGAAGAAAUGGGUGGGGGUGAAUAUCGUCCACCCUUGACGGUACCAUCAGAGGAAGCACCGGCUAACUCCGUGCCAGCAGCCGCGGUAAUACGGGGGGUGCAAGCGUUGUUCGGAAUCAUUGGGCGUAAAGCGCGCGCAGGCGGCUUGGUAAGUCAGAUGUGAAAGCCCUGGGCUUAACUCAGGAAGUGCAUUUGAUACUGCCUCGCUAGAGUACGGGAGAGGAAAGUGGAAUUCCUGGUGUAGAGGUGAAAUUCGUAGAUAUCAGGAGGAACACCGGUGGCGAAGGCGACUUUCUGGCCCGAUACUGACGCUCAGGCGCGAAAGCGUGGGGAGCAAACAG
rnacentral:rRNA from 1 species